rnacentral:ncRNA from 1 species
AGUAACAUGUAAGAAUCUGCCCUCGGGACAGAAAAACAAUUGCAAACAGUUUCUAAUGUCUCAUAGGCUGAGGAGCAAAAGGAGAAAUCUGUCCCAGGAGGGGCUAGCAUCUGAUUAGUUAGUGAGGCAAUGGCUUACUGACAACUAUCAGUAGCAGGUCCGAGAGGAUAACCAGA